rnacentral:sRNA from 1 species
GUCUCCACCCGCUCCGCUACUACAGUUGCUCCACCUCCAUCUCCACAGGUGCAGUUUCAGUUGCUCCAAGGCUCCGCUGAAUCAGUUCAGCUGAGCCAGUGCGAGGCUGACCAGCCUGUGAGGGAUGUAGGGGAGCUUCUGGUGCCAUCGUCUGGAGAGCAGAUCUCUUCCUUAAGCAGUAGUGUUGCAGCUCUUAUGACAGAAGCUCUCAGAUAAUGGAGUCUUCAGCCCAUGGAAUAGUGAUGUAUUUGGACUGGGAUUUUCUACCUUGCUUAAGUUAAUCUAGAAAAUCCCUCACAGGUGUGCCUAGUGGCUUAUCUCUUCAGCAAUUAACAAUCCUAUUGAGUUGACAGUCGGUAUUAACCAUCACAUCUGUGAAAAAUGAUGUUUGUGGGGUAUAUAGCUUGAGAGGAUUGUGCUUCCUAUGUUACCAGCUACAUUCAGCUCGUGAGGCCUUGAUGCCCCUGUCAUGAUGGGUGAUAACGUCAAACAGCCUCUCUUAAAUUUCAGAGCAUCCAACAGUAAAAGAAAGUAAGAUGGUCUCCACUCAAUCCAGACAGUGUCUCCACCCAACCCAUCUCUCAUCAGUCCUCCCCGGGAUAUCAACCAAACAUGACGUAACAAGUUAUAAUAACACCAGACACAGAUCAUCCCAGAUGGACAAAGCGACCCACAAGGAAAAGGGACCCACAAGUAGGCAAAAGAGUCAGAGAAAGCCUCUGCUCCCACUUCCUAGAAGUCGAUGAAAAUGAAUGCAGAGCUCACUGAGAGUAACGGGACACGGUGAGAGCCACGUUGAAAGGAAAGGUCAUAGCACUAAGUACCUUCAUAAAGAAAUUGGAGAGAUCGCAUUCCAGCAACUUAAAGCCCCUGCAAAGCUCUAGAGCAGAACCAAGCAAAGAAAAUAAUAAAACCGAGGCAGAAAUGAAAAAAAAAAGAAAUAAUAAAACAAUAACUCCUUAAAGUUUUCACUGUAUAACUUGAAAGGAUAUUGAAAUUUACUUUUCUAUUGU